rnacentral:rRNA from 1 species
UACGUAGGGGGCUAGCGUUGUCCGGAUUUAUUGGGCGUAAAGAGCGUGUAGGCGGCCAGGUAGGUCUGCUGUGAAAACUCGAGGCUCAACCUCGAGACGUCGGUUGAAACCAUCUGGCUAGAGUCCGGAAGAGGAGAGUGGAAUUCCCGGUGUGGCGGUGAAAUGCGCAGAUAUCGGGAAGAACACCCGUGGCGAAGGCGGCUCUCUGGGACGGUACUGACGCUGAGACGCGAAAGCGUGGGGAGCGAACAGG